rnacentral:ncRNA from 1 species
AUAAGGACGGAAGAGGCCCUUGGGCCUGACAACACGCAUAUGGUUAAGGCAUUGCCACCUACUUCUAACUUUCUAUGAACAAAUUUU